AUGUUGUUCACUCUCAGCCAAACUGCUUUGUUUUCACAGAAUACGCUGCUGUCAUUCACAGUGGGCGGAGUCUUCAAAGAAGGUCAGUAUCAUAGUCGUCAUGGUUUUAAGAAGAUCCACUGCAACUCAUCUAUUCUCACUAACGCUUUCCUGGCUUUUUCAGUUGUUGUAGAUGAUAAAUCUAAAGAAUCUACAAGGUUUUCAUCACAGUUCCAGCAGUGGAUUCUGGUUUGUGCAUCAUCAACGACCAGCUCUUCAUCAGAAUGGCUACAACGGAGCAGAUCAGCAGAGCUUUUGUGCCCCGCCCCCUUCCUCCAGCCCAGUGCCCACCCUCACUGCCCCACAGCAGGAGAUGCUCAGCACCUUCUCCCUGAAGUCAGACAUGAACCUGGAAUGGUCCCUGAAGUGUCUGCAGGACAACAAGUGGGACUUGAACAAAGCAAAACUGUUUUCCAAAUAUUUUCACUAAAAUCAGAGUUAAUAACUUUUAAAAUAUAAUUUAUUUUCAAAGGAAGAAGAAAAACAUUAUGGUUCAAUGUCUGCUUCAAUAAUUUAUUUCUCUUUUUUAAUAAACACUUUUUUUCAAAUAAAGUAAAAGCA
rnacentral:lncRNA from 1 species